rnacentral:tRNA from 1 species
AGCCCUGAGGUGUAAUCAUGUCGAAUUGCAAAUUCGAAGAAGCAGCUUCAAAUCUGCCGGGGCUU